ensembl:lncRNA
GUAUUUCUGCUUCUGCUGUUGCGCCCGUAGCAGUGCAUGUGCAAAGGGGCAGAGGGCUGGGACUGGGGAGGGGGGCACGUGUGGCAGGAAGAAGCCGGGGUGAUCUGCAGCGGCUCCUCCGGGAAAGCCAAACAACUGAGGGAACGCGUCCGCUGCUGUGAGCCCGGGCUGUGGGUCGGGGCUCCGGGGGAGGGUUUAAACCAGAAGAGCCAUGGAAAGGUGUGUGUGUGCUCAGCACCGGGCAACUCCGACUGCACGGCGUGAUUUUCCUCUCGGUACGACGUGUUUCCGCCCCUGUGAAAUAAUUACUUUUUAACGGUAAAGAAAGGAAGAGGAAUCCGGGUUGUUUUUUGAAAGCCUGAUUGAUAUUUAGAUUGACCCAACACUGCCUGAAGAUGUUUUCAUUACCAUUUCUGUUUGACCGGGCUGAAAAGGGGUUAAAAGUAACAACGGCCUCGCAGUCAGCAGAAAGCUAUUGAAAUGUUUGAUUAUCCCCGCAGCAAAGGAGAGGAUAGCAAUGCAACAGCAACCUCUCUUGGGGUAAAGUCGAGAUUUAAUAACCGAGGACCAAAGCGAUCGUUUGAAUCGAGCAAAGGGAAAUCCCAAAUAUUUUCACGUGCGAUCUGUUUCCUUGUGUUUCUUUUGAUCGAGGUGCCUUCAGAGAAACAGCCCUCUUCCUCGGAAGGCAAUAGAAAUGUCACCGGGCAUCAUCGGCACCGACGCCUGGACAUCAUGGGGGGAGCACUGACUUAAUAUUCCACAAAAGAGCGUGGCUGAAGACUCAAUACUCUCUCGACCCUCUCCCCUCGUUCCGUCAGCUCUUCUUCUUGCUGCUGCUUCAUCAGAUCACUCUCCCAGAACUCAGCGACAGAAAGGACCCAACAGAUCGAGGGAUGUGCACACGAAGUUUCCCCUUGUCGUCGCAGCACAGCUUUUUAAGCGCCCCAGGUGCUGCGGGCUCCUCGCAAAGCCUCGCUGCGCUGUGAUGGAUCUCGGGCUCUGAUCAAAUCCUGCUGUUCCUCGCUACGCAGGAAGUCUUUCCAAAUUAGUCUAACACCAGGGCCGAGCACUGUGACUAAUAGGCAUAACUGCACAGUUCACGCUAUCUGUAGGGCAGGUUCAGCAGGGGAAACGGCGGCACCAGGAAUGUGCUGCUGCCCGGAGUCAGGCGAACUCUUCGAGACAAAGAUCAGGGGAAUUAUCGGAGAGGCGAAACAAUCUCAGCAUAAAUAAUGGUGCAGCCUUACGUUGCUCGGGAGGCAGUUCGUCACUAACGGCUCUGGAUUCACUGAAGGAAGAAGAAAGAGGGCAUACAGCAGCCCUCGGGGCAGGCAGCCACGCCUCGGGAUCCCACGGGCUGGGGCUGAGCGGAAGGGCUGUGACCCACAGCGUUAAUUGCAGUCCACGUGGAGCUGAGAGCGUUCUGUUCAGCACCGGUCAUCAGAUCUCGUCCUACUUUACCUUCAGUUGUGUCCAAUGAUUUGUGUCUGACAAAAGCACGUUUUUCAGGAAAUUAGAAAAAAAAAAAAUCAAUAACUGGAUUUGCCACUUCCCUGGGCAGAAUCUUACAAAUGAGUGCUUUCCUUUACAUGUGAAUCUGUCCAGCCUCAUCCUGCCGUUAUUUGUUCAGGCUGUGCCUUUCCUUAUCGUUUUAAAAAGAGCCUCCACACCUCACUUUACAGCUCGUGGGGUAUUUCACGUUGUAAUCCAGUCCCUUAAGAAAGGAUACGCUUCCAGAGAGCCUUGUGUGGCAGUCCGGGGUUUCAAACGUAUGGGGUGGAGGUCAGGGGCUCUCCUCCACGCUCUUCAAAAUGUCAGUGUCCCUUUGAAAAAAGUCUGAGUGUGACAAGGCAUCGUAACCCUGCCUGGACACGGAGAUGAGGGGAAGGAUGGGAGGAAGAGGGGUGAUCUGGGCAGCUGGGAGAGGGAGCCCAGGAGUCACAAUUUGGUAUUGGCUGAAGACAAAACUUUAUUUUGUCAGAUGCACGCAAUUCGCAGUUACCUUUUUGAAUAUAUAUUGCUGGGAAGCUUCCCCUUCUUCUUCUUAAUACUCAUUGACUCACUGUUGGCCUUCAAAGAGACAAUUGUAUAUGUAAAGAAGAAAAAAAAAUCUAAUAAAUCUGAUGUCUUUCUGGGAAGGGAAAAAAGAAAAAAAAAAGAAAAAGAAAAAAAAGAAAAGCCAGAAUCAUUAUUUUCUUCAGUGAAACCCAAAGGAAACCCAUUGCAGUCCCUUCUCUAUGCAUGCUGGUAGCUGCUGGGAGGUCUGUGCCCUGUAAUCCAGCCUGACCGAGUGUCCCCGGGUGCCAAAAUCCUG